rnacentral:rRNA from 1 species
AUUGAACGCUGGCGGCGUGCUUAACACAUGCAAGUCGAUCGGUAACAGGUGUAGCAAUACAUGCUGACGAGAGGCGGACGGGUGAGGAAUAUUUGGGAAUCUGCCCAUCAGCGGGGGACAACCCGGGGAAACCCGGGCUAAUACCGCAUACGCUCUACGGAGGAAAGCCGGGGACCGCAAGGCCUGGCACUGAUGGAUGCGCCCAAAUCGGAUUAGGUAGUUGGGGGGGUAAAGGCCUACCAAGCCGACGAUCUGUAGCUGGUCUGAGAGGACGACCAGCCACACUGGGACUGAGACACGGCCCAGACUCCUACGGGAGGCAGCAAUGGGGAAUUUUGGACAAUGGGCGCAAGCCUGAUCCAGCAAUGCCGCGUGCAGGAUGAAGGCCUUCGGGUUGCAAACUGCUUUUGUACGGAGCGAAAAGGCUCUCUCUAAUACAGGGGGCUCAUGACGGUACCGUAAGAAUAAGCACCGGCUAACUACGUGCCAGCAGCCGCCGUAACAC